rnacentral:rRNA from 1 species
AGUGAACGCUGGCGGUAGGCCUAACACAUGCAAGUCGAACGGCAGCACAGUAAGAGCUUGCUCUUACGGGUGGCGAGUGGCGGACGGGUGAGGAAUACAUCGGAAUCUACUUUUUCGUGGGGGAUAACGUAGGGAAACUUACGCUAAUACCGCAUACGACCUACGGGUGAAAGCAGGGGAUCUUCGGACCCUGCGCGAUUGAAUGAGCCGAUGUCGGAUUAGCUAGUUGGCGGGGUAAAGGCCCACCAAGGCGACGAUCCGUAGCUGGUCUGAGAGGAUGAGCAGCCACACUGGAACUGAGACACGGUCCAGACUCCUACGGGAGGCAGCAGUGGGGAAUAUUGGACAAUGGGCGCAAGCCUGAUCCAGCCAUACCGCGUGGGUGAAGAAGGCCUUCGGGUUGUAAAGCCCUUUUGUUGGGAAAGAAAAGCAGCAAGUUAAUACCCCGCUGUUCUGACGGUACCCAAAGAAUAAGCACCGGCUAACUUCGUG